AAGUCGUAACAAGGUCUCCGUAGGUGAACCUGCGGAGGGAUCAUUACAGAGCUCAUGCCCUAACGGGUAGAUCUCCCACCCUAUGUUAUCAUUACCAUGUUGCUUUGGCGGGCCGUCAGGCUCACGCUCGGCUACGGCUCGCUCGGUAUGGCGACCCGCCCAGCAGGAGCCUCAAAACCCUGAAUAUUCGUGUCGUCUGAGUAUCAUAUAAUAGUUAAAAA
rnacentral:misc_RNA from 1 species